AGGAGGUCAGUAGUUGAUACAUCAAGUUGUAGCCUUGAAGAUAUAAUUAAUUUUUUACCUCUUA
rnacentral:tRNA from 1 species